UUUUCUUUGUGUAAAGGUAGAAGAUAUUGGUUACAAUGUUUAUUGGUUCUUGCAUGCUUACCUAUUUAGCUUUCAAAGAGCCAUAUUAAUUUGUCUUCUCCUUUGUGUUUGCCUGCAGAUUCAGCUUAGUCCAAUGCGCUUAUUAUUGUUCACAUCGUUUGAUCGUGCAAAUGAAAGCCAACAAUGAUGAUAUAUGAUGAAGUGACUGAGACACAAAAGCUGGUAUGAACUCUAUCUAUUUUGUUUUUGUAAAUAUGACUAGCUUGUUGACCCAG
rnacentral:lncRNA from 1 species